CUUUCUCUGAUGCCAUUUCGUUGAUACUAUGAGCCCGUUUUAUUUGGAAGUGGCAGAUGUGACAACUAUGCCUGGAGGCUGAGUUUGUAGCUGAUCUGAAGUGGAAUAGCUGCAGCAAACUCUAACACGAUGUGGACUAGGUCCUCUGCUAACACAGAAUGGGUUUGCUGUGCUGCAGUCAGUGGAGCCAAAAGAGGAAUCCAACUCAUGUGUAAGAGCCUGGCCCAGAUAGCACCCUGUCGCUCUGUGAUGGCCAGAUCCGAGUCCGUUGGAGUGGUGGCUAACAUGCGUGAGGGUCACAGUGCUGAAGAGGAUCAGUGGAGGACACUGUGGGGGGGGGCCUGUCUCAGAAACCAGGAGUCUGAUGUUGGAGAAGUGCAGUGAGUUGAGGAAUGGUGCUUCUGCUCUUCCCAGACACACCUAUAGGUGGAAUGAUAGGUGCCUUUCCUAUCAGAUUUAAAGGUCAGAUUUGGUGAUCACAUGAUUUACCUGCUCUUCAUUGAAGCUGAUGGCCAGCAUGGCCAGGACAGCCCAUGGAGCUACCUCCCUGCAAGCUGGGAGUGCUUGGUGGCCAUGUCCUAUCAGCAGAAGUGAAGAAAUUGUUCUGGAGUCAGCAUGGGGCUUUCUGCAAAAUGCACAUUGUAAUCCCCUGACUUUCAGGUUUGCACAAACAGGACCACCUUGCACCUGGUUUUGUAUAGCCCAAAUGCUGCUCAUGCUGCUCAUUGAUUCAAGUGAACUUUGCUUUAAAAAAAGAUGGUGGUUUAUAACCUUAGUGCAGUGCCAGCACCUCUGCAACUUGUUCUUUGCAUACCAUCAAGCUGUGCAGUGCGGUGCAGGUGGCAGGGUGGGGACAGCCCUUGCUGCAUCCCUUUUGUUGUGUUGCCUGUACAGUGCCGUCCUGGCACUUAGCAGGUUCUCCUUUUCCUUCUCCUUUCCUUUACCUCGCCUCCCCUCUCCCUCUUCCCUUUCCUUUCCUUCUUCCCUUUCCCUCCCCUUUCCCUCCCCUCCCCUUUCCCUCCCCUCCCCUUUCCCUCCCUUUUCCCUUCCCUCCCUUUUCCCUCCCCUCCCCUUCCCUUCCCUUCCCUUCCCUUCCCUUCCCUUCCCUUCCC
ensembl:lncRNA